rnacentral:lncRNA from 1 species
UCACAGACAGGGCGCGUAGCCAGCGUGGAUCUGCCGGACAAAGGGAGCCAGACUGAAGUGGACCACAAGUAACUGAAACCAUGGAAAGUGAAACUGAGGAUAAAGGAGGCUCCCAUAAAUUCACAAGCCAGAAGAGUCAUUUGGAAAGGCAAGUGUGUCCUUUGUGCUUCUUCUUUGGAAAAUAUGAUCACCACGGGAUUUUUUUGUUUGUUUGUUUUGUUUUUGUCUUUGUUUUAGAUGGAAUCUUGCUCUGUUGCCCAGGCUGGAGUGCAAUGGCAUGAUCUCCACUCACUGCAACCUCAAUUAAAACUAAAAAAAAUCAAAGUCAAAAAUAACGUUUCAGUUUCUAAUGCCCCUAAAAACUGUGUAGUAAAUUGUAAAAAAAAGAAACUCAGAGACCGGUGCCCAUGCAGGUCCUCUGUAUACUAAACGCCGGUCUCCUGGGCCCACUGUUCUUUCUCUAUACUUUGUCUCUGUGUCUUAUUUCUUUUCUCAGUCUCUUGUCCCACCUGACGAAAAUACCCACAGGUGUGGAGGGACAGGCCACCCCUUCAUCUGCCGCCCAACGUGGGUGCCUUUCUCUAAGGUGAAGUUACGCUAAGAAGGUGAGCAUGAAAGACAAGUCAACGAAAGAGUCCCAAGUACGUCCAUGGUCAGCCUUGCGGAGCAGCAGCCCAAAGCUACUGGAGGAGAGAAGAAGGGAGGAGGAAGCGUCUGGGCAUGAGAGCAGCAGGAGUUGAGGUUACAGAGCUGUCGAAAUCUCUCCUGCCUGGACCAAAGAGAUGUAGGAAGAUGAAUUGCAUCUGUCUUCCAAGAGAGUUACAAAUGCAGCAGAAUAUCAGGCUGGGAGGCAGAAAGCGAGCGUUCCUGACAGUGGCUCCACGGAAUAGCCGGCACAUGCUGAACCACAGCCUCUCUGCGGAGGCAGAUGGAGCACAGAUGAAAGCUUCAAGAAGCCAGAAAUGAUGUUUGCCUUCUCACAUGGUAUUUGGCACACAGCAGGUGCUCAGUAAACAUCCCACACAAAGAGGAAGGGAUAGGUGGGAAAAAGGGGAAAAUGGAUAUUAAUGAUACUAAUACUAUCUGUGAGAGAGAGAGAGAGAAAUAUAGAGGACAGACUGAGAGCUCAUAGUCUAGAAGGCAAUAGAGCAAGGUUCUGAGAUUCUGCAGAAGGGUCAAGUUUGCCAGGGUUGCUAAAUCCUAGUUCAAAAAACCCAAUUAUGUAAAUAUGGUUUUCCAAUACUUAAACCAUAUGAUCUGAGAAUAAAAGAGGAUAGCAUGGUUAGCUUUGAAACUCCUUGCCCUAAACGGAAGUAUAUGGCUUGUAAUCAGUCAGGUAGCACUCUGAGCAUGUUGGAAUUCACAAUCUCAUUAAUUUGGGGGUGCCAAGAGCACAUUGGAUAACAUUUCCACUUAGUUAUUUCUCAGUAUACUUGUGUGGGUUGAGAGUUGAUCUCAUUGGCUGUCAUUUCUAGAGCCCUUACCCUUUGUCAAGUUGUGCUAGGCAUUUUACCUGCUUUAUCUCUGAUCCUCACAACUAUGUAUAGAAGACAUCCUUACACCAUUUUACAGAAUGAGGAAAACUAAAACUCAAGUUUCACGCAGCUGUUAAGCAGUAGAAUGAAUUUAAACCCACUUGCUGUAAGUGAUCAUUUCCGUACAUUGUGCUAUGUCACAGGAGAGACUAUUUUUAGGAUUUAAGCGUGUGACUUUUGUAUGUAUAUAACUUUUAUGGGCAUCAGUUUUCUCAUCUGUAAAGUGGAGGCAUGAAAUAGUUAAUACUUCAGGUCUAUUUUUUUCUACAAUUCUACAAGUGGAAGAACAGGCAGGAGAUGCUCCCUGCUGUGGUAGAGCUGUCCACGGUCCUGAAAAGCCUGGCCCCAAUAAAGCAAUAAUCAGCUUAUCAAAGGAAGAAGCACAAGAGGCCAGAAACGCCUCCAUUAAUAGAGAUCUAGCUGCUAGUCUCUGCUCUCUUAAGUAAUUAAGCACGCUAUCUCUUACUGCCGAGUAUAUGCGUUAUGCCAUGAACCAAGCCACUGCAAAUUAAAGAUGUAGGUAGACUUGCAUAACCCUCUCCUUUCCCCCUCACACCUGAAAGAGCCCACGUGUUCCAGCUAAAUGAACUGUAGUAAUAUUUAGUCUCCAUUUUUUAUUCUUUUGCCUUGAAUUACAGAUUCUUCCAUGCAACAGAUGUUCUGAGCCUGAUUUUCUAAGCUUAGCCACUCCAAUAACCAAGUAAGAUUAAUUUAAUGAGUUCUCUUAAAAAAUGUUUCUUUGUUUUAGCAUAUUUCCAUUGCCUCUUCCAUUUAUUCAUAGGGAUCUGUUAUCUCACAUAUGCUUGUGUCAAAGGACAAAAAAUUACUGUAUAAGUAGCCAUAUAAGGAGAAGUUUCCUUUCCAGAAAACAUGUGGUGGACACAGGGCAUGUGAAAACAUACAAGAUAAGCAUUCUUUCAUACUUUUUUCUGUCAGUCAUGGCUACUUAUUGAAACUUGUACAUCCUUUUUUAUUUCCAACUCCUAAUGUAUAAUUUAGCUUGUAAAAUAACUUUAAUAAUAAAUCUGUG